AGAGUUUGAUCCUGGCUCAGAGCGAACGCUGGCGGCAGGCUUAACACAUGCAAGUCGAACGCCCCGCAAGGGGAGUGGCGGACGGGUGAGUAACGCGUAGGUAUCUAUCCAUGGGUGGGGGAUAACAGCGGGAAACUGCUGCUAAUACCGCAUGACACCUGAGGGUCAAAGGCGCAAGUCGCCUGUGGAGGAGCCUGCGUACGAUUAGCUAGUUGGUGGGGUAACUGCCUACCAAGGCGACGAUCGUUAGCUGGUCUGAGAGGAUGAUCAGCCACAUUGGGACUGAGACACGGCCCAAACUCCUACGGGAGGCAGCAGUGGGGAAUCUUGCGCAAUGGGCGAAAGCCUGACGCAGCCAUGCCGCGUGGAUGAUGAAGGUCUUAGGAUUGUAAAAUCCUUUCACCGGGGACGAUAAUGACGGUACCCGGAGAAGAAGCCCCGGCUAACUUCGUGCCAGCAGCCGCGGUAAUACGAAGGGGGCUAGCGUUGCUCGGAAUUACUGGGCGUAAAGGGCGCGUAGGCGGUCUUAUAAGUUUGGUGUGAAAGCCCUGGGCUUAACCUAGGAAUAGCAUUGGAUACUGUAAGACUUGAGACCGAGAGAGGGAAAUGGAAUUGCGAGUGUAGAGGUGAAAUUCGUAGAUAUUCGCAAGAACACCAGUGGCGAAGGCGAUUUCCUGGCUCGGUACUGACGCUAAGGCGCGAAAGCGUGGGGAGCAAACAGGAUUAGAUACCCUGGUAGUCCACGCUGUAAACGAUGAAUGCUAGAUGUUGGGGAUUAAAAUCUUCAGUGUCGUCGCUAACGCAAUAAGCAUUCCGCCUGGGGAGUACGGUCGCAAGAUUAAAACUCAAAGGAAUUGACGGGGACCCGCACAAGCGGUGGAUGAUGUGGUUUAAUUCGAUGCAACGCGAAAAACCUUACCCACCUUUGACAUGUACGGAAUCCUUUAGAGAUAGAGGAGUGCUCGAAAGAGAACCGU
rnacentral:rRNA from 1 species